rnacentral:rRNA from 1 species
CCUACGGGGGGCUGCAGUGAGGGAUAUUGGGCAAUGGACGCAAGUCUGACCCAGCGACGCCGCGUGGAGGAGAAGGGCUUCGGCUCGUAAACUCCUUUUCCCGAGGACGAGACAAGGACGGUACUCGGGGAAUAAGUCUCGGCUAACUACGUGCCAGCAGCCGCGGUAAUACGUAGGAGGCAAGCGUUCUCCGGAAUUACUGGGCGUAAAGGGCGUCUAGGUGGCAGCCCAAGCGGGGUGGGAAAGCUCCUGGCUUAACUGGGAGAGUGCGCUCCGAACUGGGCAGCUAGAGGGCAGGCGACGGAGGUGGAAUACCCGGUGGAGUGGUGAAAUGCGUAGAGAUCGGGUGGAACACCAGUGGCGAAGGCGGCCUUCGAGCCUGUGCCUGACACUGAAGCGCGAGAGCGUGGGGAGCAAACGGGAUUAGAUACCCUAGUAGUC